UUCCAGUCAGAAAUCUAAUAAACUUCGAAUAUCCACGUUUCGUAAAUGUGCUCUUAAGCUUACAUGUUCGAAUAAUUUAAAAAUCUUGUUACUUAUUAUAUCAAGUACCUAAUCGAUCGCUUGUCAUAUGUUUCCUCAUUGUUAUUGAUAUAAAAAUUAUUCCAGCAGGAAUUUUUGUCUAGGAGCAACCUGUCAAAUCACAGCGCCGCCUAUCGUCACAGCACACGACGCUCCCUGAUUUGAUUUUGACAUUUCCAUGGAGAAUCACUGACGGGCUGCAGAAGUGCUAAGAGCAAAUUAAGUGGGAAUUGUCUAGGAGCAGCCUGUCCGAUCAUAGCGCCGCCUAUCGUCACAGCACUUGAUGCCCCCUGGUGAGACCAUUCCUCUCUACAACAAGCUUAAGCGCCGCC